rnacentral:rRNA from 1 species
GACGAACGCUGGCGGCGUGCUUAACACAUGCAAGUCACGGGGGUCCCGCAAGGGAUAACCGGCGAACGGGUGCGUAACACGUGAACAACCUGCCCUCGUGUGGGGGAUAGCCAUGCUAACGCGUGGGUAAUACCGCAUACGGUCCUUUGGGGGAGUCCCUGGGGGAAGAAAGCUCCGGCGCACGGGGAGGGGUUCGCGGCCUAUCAGCUAGUUGGGGGAGUAGCCGACC